UUCUGUAGGGAUCACAUCUUCUCCUUCGAUCUGGGUCGAAGUCCCCAGGAAAUCCUGAAUCCUCGGAACAAGGUGCAGUGGAGGACCAAGGGUAGCGAUAUGCAGAAUUGCGCCAUGCGAGGGAAGCAUCGGGACGAGUGUCACAACUUCAUUCGUGUCCUGGUGCCUCGCAGCGACCGGAUGCUGUUUGCUUGUGGGACCAACGCUUUUAACCCCGUCUGUCGGAACUAC